CUGCAUGGUUGUCGUCAGCUCGUGUCGUGAGAUGUUGGGUUAAGUCCCGCAACGAGCGCAACCCUUGUCUUAUGUUGCCAGCAUUUUAAGUUGGGGACUCAUGGGAGACUGCCGGGGUUAACACGGAGGAAGGUGGGGAUGACGUCAAAUCAUCAUGCCCCUUAUGUCCAGGGCUUCACACAUGCUACAAUGGUAGGUACAGAGGGUUGCUACACAGCGAUGUGAUGCUAAUCUCAAAAAGCCUAUCGUAGUCCGGAUUGGAGUCUGCAACUCGACUCCAUGAAGUCGGAAUCGCUAGUAAUCGCAGAUCAGAAUGCUGCGGUGAAUACGUU
rnacentral:rRNA from 1 species